GUGGCAUUGUGGGCACAGUGACACAAACAUGGGGAGCAUCUGGAGCCAGAAACCUGCCCUCGCUUGUGUUUGUGAAGACGGGUUCUGUCAAGCCGUCGUUUCCUAAGGGAGGCAUGACUCACCAGGAGAGGGUUUUCAGGAGGCUGGCAGAACGUGAUGCGGUGACACAUUCUGUCGUUCCCUCGCUGUGCUUCCAGUGAGACCGAGAACGGGGACGAUUUUGUGGUUAUCGUGGAUGACGACGGGGAGGAGGAGGAGGAGGAGGAAGAAGAGGAGGAGGAGGAGGAGGAGGCGGCAGCAACGGCAGCAGCCGUGCAUGAGAUCGUGGAUGAGGAGGAGGCUGAGCAUGAUGACACCAUGGAAGAGGUCCUGAGCAGCCAAGAAGAGAAUGUCGCUGGUCCCGUGCCCUCUGCCCGCAAGGAACCGGACGGGAGGGAUUCAGAGGCUGAAGAAGACGGCUAGCUCCAUAUUUGCUGAGUGUGUCUCUGAUUGGACUUUCCCAUGGUGACGUCCAUGGCACUUUGACUCUGACCAAUUGCACUUGGCCGUGGCAGGAGGGGGUGGGGCGGGCAGUUCCAAGGCACCUUCCCGCUGGGGAGCAGUCACGUUGAUUAUUUUGUACCUUUAUUUAUUGCAGCGACUGCAGUUUUUCCGCCCCGCCUUCGGGGGGGAGGGGUCCCCCCCACACCAACAGCCCCUCCCCCUCCAUUCUUGUCUGACGAUUGGCAUUUUUUCUUACCUGCCUGCGUGGGGGGCUAUUUGCAUAUGGGCCCCCUCCCCCUGGUGGCUGCCCAGUGGCCUUUUCAAAACCGCUCAGGGUUCCCUUGUUCAGUUCAACGUUAUUAAGCUGUCGACUUCCGCACUUUCACUGCACUCUUGAUUACGAGGAUUCUGCUUGCCGGGUGGACCCUGCCGCUUUAGAGCGCUCUCGCUGAUGAGCACCUCCUGCUGUCACAGCAUCGUCCUGGCCCUGUCCUUUCCCCAUCACGCUGUUCCGGCCUGCCCGCCGGGGGACUCUCUCGUCACCAGGGCUGGGUUGAAAAUAAUCCCUGCUAAUCCAGCGGUGAUUCCUCCUCAGCUGGCUCGGUUGAAGCAUCAGAGCGCCCUGGUUGCACGGCGUUCUGCCAGGGGGUUGCUGUGGAUGCGGGAAUGAGUUGUGGCCAUAGUGAAGUUCUGGUCUUGGGCUCAGUCCUUUCCCUGGAUGUUGCAAUGCAUUGUGGUCGGGGUGGGGGGGGGGAAUAACUUGUGUAACACCAUGGCCCUGGCAGUGUAUGCAGCUGUCCCUCCGCCAGCCUCUAGUCUACGGAUUCCUAGCAAUGUUUCUGAAGCAUCGGCUCAUCUCCCCGCCCUGCUCCCCUGCACCCCCUAGAGGCUGUUCUAUGCAAUGCUACUGAUAUUUGUAGAAAGGCAACGUAUUCCUUUGCUGGGUUUUGUAUAUUUCGUAUCAGGACUUUGUAUGGUUUUUUUUUUUAACAUAAAAGAGCACUUAAUACGCAGCGAGCUUUCCAA